ACGCCUUAGGCGUUGCUCGUGG
rnacentral:siRNA from 1 species